UCUUCUUCUCUUUUAUUCUUUCCUUCAUCAUCACGCGGAGCAGAAGCAAUCGACUGGAGGUAGUUUAUUUAUUUUUCCCCCUCAUGUUCAAGGGGAAAAAAUAUAUCUAUGUACAUUUAUUUAUCACAAGGCAGGACUAGCAGGAAAUCAAUGUCAUGGAGGGGAAGGAAAUAUCAAAUACACUCACGAAGCCGCAGAAUCACUUUGAACGAAUUUUUUGGUGUCUAGAAAUAAAUAAGAAGUCGUGGAAUAAAUAAGGAAGUGUAUGAAUAGACUAGAUAUUUUCAUCACUAUUCUGUCUGUUCUUUUCUUCCAUACACAAUAUAUUCAGUGCCGUUAACAAAUAUAUAAAACGUAGAAAUAAAUUAGAUUAAAUAAUAUAUAUGUAAUGCCCUUCAGGAAGCGUUUAUCUUUUUUUUUCUUCCAUUCACAAUCUUUUUUUUUUUCGAGUUAACUACUACUAAUAAAAUAAACGAAGAAUUAAGUUAGAUUAUAAACACAUGUACAAGUCUUCAUGAAACUUUUUUUUACAUAUUUUUGUCUUCAUAUUUUCUUCUAAACAAACUCUUCUCUGGCGUUUUCUAAUAUAUAAAACGAUUAGAAAUAAAUCAGAUGAAAUAUGCGUGUACAAUUAUUUUUAUGUAACCGUUUAUCUCUUAUUCUUCACCACAAACACAAUCUUCUCCGGCGCUUUCUAAUGUAUAAAAUCCAAAAAUAAAUUAGAUUAAAUAUACAUGAACAUACAAUUAUUCUUAAGGAAGCGGUUCCUCUUUUCUUUUUCUUCUAUUUCCAAGCACAAUCUUCAGUGGCUUUUGCUCAUUUAUAAACGGUAGAAAUAUAUUAGAUUCACUAUACAAGUACAAAAAAGCGUUUAUCUUUUCUCCUCCUUUUCUUCCAGACACAAUGUUCUCAAACGACUACUAAUAUAAAAAAAAGCGUAUAUGAACAGAUCGAAUUAAAUGUGCAUGAACAAUUAUUAGUCUUCAGGAGGUGUUUCUCUUUUCUUCUCCUUUUCUUCCAAACACAAUAUUCUCAAACGCUUACUAAUAUAAAAAAAGCGUACACAUAGCAUGAAAUUAAAUAUGCAUGUACAAUCAUUAUUCUUCAGGAGGUGUUUCUCUUUUCUUCUCCUUUUUUUCCAAACAAUAUUUUCAAACACUUACUAAUAUGAAAAAGCGUACACAUAGGAUGAAAUUAAAUAUGCAUGUACAAUAAUUAUCCUUCAGGAGGCGUUUCUCUUUCCCUUCUCUUUCUUACAUUUUAUACAGCCCUGCGGAGAACACGCGUUUAUUAUACUGUAGAAAUAAAUUAAGUAUAGAAAUGUACAACUCUUCAGUUAGCGACAUCCUUUCCUAUACACUUUAUACACCACACUUGCGAGGAACCCACGAACACUGACUGUAAAAAGUUGUUGGAACAUACAUUUAUACACUUCUUUGGCGUUUUGCUUUUGUUUUCGUUCCUAUACAAUUUAUACAGCACACAUACACCCCCCCCCCCCCCCACCCCCCACACACACAUACACACCCACACACACACACACACACGAGGUGGACACAUCUGAACCCCGUCUAAAAGUCCACUAACACCAGGUAACUCUCCUUCUCACCUUCCUUACCUGCACACCAAUACACCAUGGACUAGACACACACGCUUUACCACACACACACACAC